rnacentral:rRNA from 1 species
GUCAGCAGCCGCGGUAACACCGGCGGCCCGAGUGGUGAUCGUGAUUAUUGGGUCUAAAGGGUCCGUAGCCGGUUUGGUCAGUCCUCCGGGAAAUCUGAUAGCUCAACUAUUAGGCUUUCGGGGGAUACUGCCAGACUUGGAACCGGGAGAGGUAAGAGGUACUACAGGGGUAGGAGUGAAAUCUUGUAAUCCCUGUGGGACCACCUGUGGCGAAGGCGUCUUACCAGAACGGGUUCGACGGUGAGGGACGAAAGCUGGGGGCACGAACCGGAUUAGAUACCCGGGUAGUCCCAGCCGUAAACGAUGCUCGCUAGGUGUCAGGCAUGGCGCGACCGUGUCUGGUGCCGCAGGGAAGCCGUGAAGCGAGCCACCUGGGAAGUACGGCCGCAAGGCUGAAACUUAAAGGAAUAGGCGGGGGAGCACAACAACGGGUGGAGCCCUGCGGUUUAAUUGGACUCAACGCCGGACAACUCACCGGGGGCGACAGCAAUAUGUAGGCCAAGCUGAAGACUUUGCCUGAAUCGCUGAGAAGUGGUGCAUGG